rnacentral:rRNA from 1 species
UUUUCUGGGGAUUAAAUUUUUUAUUCUAAAUUCAAUGGAUUUGGCGGUUUUUAAAUUUUUUAGAGGAACCUGUGGUUUAAAUGAUAAUCCACGAUUUUUUUUACCUUCAUUUUCUUGUAUAUCUCUGUCGUUGAAUAUGAUGAUAGUUUAUUUUCUUUUUUUUUAUUUAAUUUAUGUUAGGUCAAGGUGCAGUUUUGUGUGGGUUGUUAUGGGUUACAUUAAUUUUUGUUUGUGGAUUUUUUUUAUAUAAUAAAGUUGAAUUUGGAUUUAAAAGUAAUUUUUUUUUUUAAAUUUUUUGAAUUUUGUUCUUAAUUAUGU